rnacentral:rRNA from 1 species
CGCCUCUUGAACCCAAUGAGAGGUCCAGCCUGCCCAGUGAUAUAUUCAACGGCCGCGGUAUCCUAACCGUGCAAAGGUAGCGUAAUCACUUGUUCUUUAAUUGCGGACUAGUAUGAACGGCAUCACGAAGGUUAUACUGUCUCCUUUUUUUAAUCAGUGAAACUAAUCUCCCCGUGAAGAAGCGGGGAUAAAAAUAUAAGACGAGAAGACCCUAUGGAGCUUUAAACAACAUAGCAAUUACUACAAACAAUUAAAUUUCCGAAUUCUAAACUUUUUAAGUAACAUGACUAUAAGUUUUUGGUUGGGGUGACCACGGAGUAUAACACAACCUCCAUGUUGAAGAUUUUAAACUAAGAGCAACCCAUCUAAGUAUCAGUACAUUGACAUCCAUUGACCCAAUAUAUUUGAUCAACGAACCAAGUUACCCUAGGGAUAACAGCGCAAUCCACUUCAAGAGCCCCUAUCGACAAGUGGGUUUACGACCUCGAUGUUGGAUCAGGAUAUCCCAGUGGUGCAGCCACUACUAAAGGUUCGUUUGUUCAACGAUUAAAAUCCU